AGGAAAUAUGGAACGAGACGAGCAGCGAAACAGUUUGCGAGAAGAUAUUCUGCAGCGAGACGGGAGAUGAGGUUAGGAAAAUAGCGCGCGAGACCGCGGCACGUCGAAAAUGUCGGAGGGAAUACGUAGGACCAGCAGAUUCAAAAUAAAAAAUACAGCUUAGCAGUGUUAAGUUGACCAACGAGAAAUCCUGACACUUUAAUUCACAGUCGACCGCGCAUUUGACAUUACGAGAAAAAAAUAAACACGACCCGAUUACCUUUCUGCGACGAGGAAAUACAAUGGAAAUACGAGGAAAUACACGAGGAAAUAUCCGGAAAAACAAUUCGGGACCUGCGGAAGAUCAGCGAGGUCCGUCGAUAGCUGCCGUACUUUCUCACCGAGACGCAGGAAUCCUCGCUGGGAAAUCGCGAAAG